AUUGAACGCUGGCGGCAUGCCUAACACAUGCAAGUCGAGCGGGAGAAGGGGGUUUGCUCCUGCAUUCAGCGGCGGACGGGUGGGUAAUGCCUAUGAAUUUGCCUUGUCGUGGGGGAUAACGUCCGGAAACGGGCGCUAAUACCGCAUACAUACUGUGGUAGAAAUUGGGUGGUCUUCGGACCGCACGCUUUCAUAGUAGGCUAGGUCGGAUUAAAUAGGUGGUGGGGUAAAGGCCUAGCGAGGCGACUAAGCGUAACUGGUCUGAAGGGAUGACCAGAUAGACUGGCACUGAGACACGGUACAGACUCCUACGGGAAGCAGCAGUGGGGAAUAUUGGACGAGGGGGGAAAGGCUGAUCCAGGCAUGCCGGGGGUGUCAAGAAGGUCCUCUGAUUGUAAAGCAAUGUAAGUUGUGAGGAAGUACAGUAAGUUAACACCUUACUGUUUUGACGGUACCAAGAGAAUAAGCUCCGGCUAACUCCGUG
rnacentral:rRNA from 1 species